rnacentral:rRNA from 1 species
CCUACGGGAGGCUGCAGUGAGGAAUAUUGGUCAAUGGGCGAGAGCCUGAACCAGCCAAGUCGCGUGAGGGAGUACUGCCCUAUGGGUUGUAAACCUCUUUUGUCGGGGAGCAAAAGCCGGACGUGUCCGGCUGUGAGAGUACCCGAAGAAAAAGCAUCGGCUAACUCCGUGCCAGCAGCCGCGGUAAUACGGAGGAUGCGAGCGUUAUCCGGAUUUAUGGGGUUUAAAGGGUGCGCAGGCGGAUUUUUAAGUCAGCGGUCAAAUCGUGGGGCUCAACCCCAUCCAGCCGUUGAAACUGGGGAUCUAGAGUGUGCGAGAGGUAUGCGGAAUGCGUGGUGUAGCGGUGAAAUGCAUAGAUAUCACGCAGAACCCCGAUUGCGAAGGCAGCAUACCGGUGCACAACUGACGCUCAGGCACGAAAGCGUGGGUAUCGAACAGGAUUAUAUACCCCGGUAGUC